GAUGAACGCUGGCGGCGUGCCUAAUACAUGCAAGUCGAGCGAACGGACGAGAAGCUUGCUUCUCUGAUGUUAGCGGCGGACGGGUGAGUAACACGUGGAUAACCUACCUAUAAGACUGGGAUAACUUCGGGAAACCGGAGCUAAUACCGGAUGAUAUUUUGAACCGCAUGGUUCAAAAGUGAAAGACGGUCUUGCUGUCACUUAUAGAUGGAUCCGCGCUGCAUUAGCUAGUUGGUAAGGUAACGGCUUACCAAGGCAACGAUGCAUAGCCGACCUGAGAGGGUGAUCGGCCAAACUGGAACGGAGACACGGUCCAGACUCCUAGGGGAGGCAGCGGUAGGGAAUCUUCCGCAAUGGGCGAAAGCCUGACGGAGCAACGCCGCGUGAGUGAUGAAGGUCUUCGGAUCGUAAAACUCUGUUAUUAGGGAAGAACAUAUGUGUAAGUAACUGUGCACAUCUUGACGGUACCUAAUCAGAAAGCCACGGCUAACUACGUG
rnacentral:rRNA from 1 species